rnacentral:rRNA from 1 species
AUUGAACGCUGGCGGCAGGCCUAACACAUGCAAGUCGAACGAGUGGCGGACGGGUGAGUAAUGUAUGGGGAACUGCCUGAUGGAGGGGGAUAACUACUGGAAACGGUAGCUAAUACCGCAUACUAUCGGAUGUGCCCAUAUGGGAUUAGCUAGUAGGUGGGGUAAAGGCUCACCUAGGCGACGAGCCCUAGCUGGUCUGAGAGGAUGAUCAGCCACACAGGAACUGAGACACGGCCCAGACUCCUACGGGAGGCAGCAGUGGGGAAUAUUGCACAAUGGGCGCAAGCCUGAUGCAGCCAUGCCGCGUGUAUGAAGAAGGCCUUCGGGUUGUAAAGUACUUUCAGCGGGGAGGCGUUACCCGCAGAAGAAGCACCGGCUAACUCCGUGCCAGCAGCCGCGGUAAUAC